UACGUAGGGUGCAAGCGUUAAUCGGAAUUACUGGGCGUAAAGCGUGCGCAGGCGGUUUGGUAAGACAGAUGUGAAAUCCCCGGGCUUAACCUGGGAAUUGCAUUUGUGACUGCCCGGCUAGAGUUUGGCAGAGGGGGGUAGAAUUCCACGUGUAGCAGUGAAAUGCGUAGAUAUGUGGAGGAACACCGAUGGCGAAGGCAGCCCCCUGGGUCAAAACUGACGCUCAUGCACGAAAGCGUGGGGAGCAAACAGG
rnacentral:rRNA from 1 species